rnacentral:rRNA from 1 species
AGCGAACGCUGGCGGCGUACCUAACACAUGCAAGUCGAACGGGGAUCACAGGGUUAGCAAUAACUCCGUGGUUCUAGUGGCGCACGGGUGAGUAACACGUGGGUAACCUGCCCUUGAGACCGGGAUACCCCCUCGAAGGGGGCGUAAUACCGGAUACGUUCCUCGGAUCGAAGGUACUGAGGAGGAAAGGUGGCGAAAGCUGCCGCUCUUGGAGGGGCUCGCGGCCUAUCAGCUAGUUGGCGGGGUAACGGCCCACCAAGGCUAUGACGGGUAGCUGGUCUGAGAGGACGACCAGCCACACGGGGACUGAGACACGGCCCCGACUCCUACGGGAGGCAGCAGUGGGGAAUUUUCCGCAAUGGGCGAAAGCCUGACGGAGUGACGCCGCGUGUGGGACGAAGGCCUUCGGUCGU